UAUCCCAGUGGAAAGAAGGGGCCAUCAAAGGAGUUUCCUUCCUCUGAAGGUAGGAGAGAACUUCCACUUUGAUUAUGGCCUUGUCUAAUAACGUCAGAGUUUGUGAACUCAAAACACUUCCAUAGCCUUGGCAGCUCACAAGAGCCUUCGGUGAUUAAUGAUGUCACAAAUAAGAGUGUCAAUUGUUAAAUCAACCAUAGGAGUCACUGUGCGCUUACUCUCCAUGUAGGCUCUCUGUCCUUAAUGUGUUAUACUAUGCAAAUUAAUGGUAAAACUGGCCGGCGCCACGGCUCACUAGGCUAAUCCUCCGCCUAGCGGCGCCGGCACACCGGGUUCUAGUUCCGGUCGGGGCGCCGGAUUCUGUCCCGGUUGCCCCUCUUCCAGGCCAGCUCUCUGCUGUGGCCAGGGAGUGCAGUGGAGGAUGGCCCAGGUGCUUGGGCCCUGCACCCCAUGGGAGACCAGGAAAAGCACCUGACUCCUGGCUCCUGCCAUCGGAUCAGCGCGGUGCGCCGGCCGCGGCGGCCAUUGGAGGGUGAACCAACGGCAAAAGGAAGACCUUCCUGUCUCUGUCUCUCACUGUCCACUCUGCCUGUCAAAAAAAAAAAAUGGUAAAACUAAUACUCAAACUAUUUCAUACUUUCUGUGUCUGGGUGGGUUCAAUCUAUUGAAAUCUUUACUUAGUAUAUGCUAAGCUGAUCUUCUGUAUAUAAAGAUAAUUAAAAUGACUCAAUGAAGAAUGGGAUGGGAGAAGGAAUAGGAUAUGGGAUGGUUUGUGGGUGUGACGGUAGUUAUGGGGGGAAAAACUGCUAUAAUCCAAAAGUUGUACUUUGGAAAUUUAUAUUUAUUAAAUAAGUUUUCUAAAAAAGAAAACACAUUUAUGAAUAAGCAUCUGAAGGGGUUACCAUGUAAAUUCCUAGAAAUAUCAAGUAAUUACUUGGAAACAUAGCAUGAAUUUCCAUUUCUUUUUUAUUUUUUGACAGGCAGAGUGGACAGUGAGAGAGAGACAGAGAGAAAGGUCUUCCUUUGCCGUUGGUUCACCCUCCAAUGGCCGCUGCGGCUGGUGCACUGCGGCCGGCGCACUGCACUGAUCCGAUGGCAGGAGCCAGGUCUCUGCCAUGAGGACUCACUGGUUUCCUGCAUCAGGUACAGGCCUUCUGCAGUCUCCAGGAAGGGCUUUCAUGGGGUUAGCCUUCCACCGUUUCUGCUGUUGGAACAUUCCAGAAGAAAUACUUCAAUGUGGCUCAUGGAAAUGGUGAAGUUUUUCUCAUCUCAGUUGCCCAGAAAAAGGAUGACUUGAUUGGGACCCAACAGGAAAUCAAGACAUUAAUUUAAGACAAGAUAUAAUAGCAAACAGCAGCACAUCAACUCAUAAGAGAGUUGAAUUAAGAAAAAACAAUUUAACAAUGUAAGCUCAAACUGUAUAACAAAACUAAUAUCAAAAAGGGAAAUUGUUCAAGAAAGAAACCUGAUGUGUAUUUCACAAUGCACAUCUCCAUAGUUGCACCUGAUGAGAGGCAGCCUUUACAUAAAAAUUCAUAUCUUAGUAAGCAUCAGCAAACCCACACAGGAGAUAAACUCUAUGGGUCUAAUGAAUAUGAGGAAUCUCGUGUACAAAUCAGAUCUUGCAGGAAAUCAAAGAACACAGGCAAGGGAAAAAAUACUUCCAUAAACUCAUUGGAAAUCUUCCAGCUGUAAAUCCUGCCAUUCAUCACAAAACUCACAAGGGAAAAACCCCAUGUGUAUGAAUGUGGAAGAAGCACUUAAAUGAAACAGACCUUAUUAAAAAUCAAAGAAUUCAUACAGCAGAAACUUCAUGAAUGUAACAAAUGUGGAAAAGUUUUUUGCACUAUAUCAAUCCUCAAUACUACAUGGAAAAUUCACAUGGGGAGAAAUCUUAUGGAUAUAGUGAAUAUGGAAAAGCCUUUUGGCAUAGGUAAAUCCUCAUUACACAUUAGAGAAUUUCUUGAGAAGCAAUGUAAUGAAUAUGGAAAAUCAUUUUCCUGAAAUCCAAGCCUCAAGAAGCAUAGAACACACAAAGAAGAGAAACCUUUUCUAUGCAGUCAAUGUGAAAAAAACAAAUCUUUUGCCAGAAGUUAGACUUCAGUAGAUAACAGAGAAGGCACACAAAGUGUAAUAAAAACCUUAUCUAUGAAAAAAGAAUGUGAAAAAUAUGUUUGCCUGAAGUCAAUCUUCAGCACACAAUAAGGGAAUAAAGGGAUGAGAAAACAUGCACAUAUAUGAGAACCUUCUACCCUAAGACAUCUCUCACUACUGGAGAAGUGAGCAAUGAAAAACCCUUUAAAUGUAGUGGAAGUAGAGAAACCUUUAUUAUAAGGCAAACUUCAAAAAUGUCAGCAAAAUUGCAGAGAGUAAACACAGAAAAUGUAAUGUGGGUGGGAAAAUCCUUUGCUGAAAUCACAUCCCAGCAACUGGUGGGAAACAGUUGACAGACAUUGGCUGUAUGUUCUUCAAAAUCUGCAUUUUCUCUUUGACAAACAAUCUGCAUUUUACUUCCCAUUAUUUUGAGUGGGACCACGUAGAUGUGCUCUGUUUCCACAAAUUUUCUUAACUAUUCAAUCUACAACACUUAUUUGAAAUACCGUAUUCCUUGAUUGCCAUGCUACUUGGAGGAGUAGUUUUGAUGUGUGCCCAUGACUCCUUUCCCGACUUAUUUUAGUAAUAGCCAUUGGCAUGACCACAGACAUGCCACUUAACUCAUACAUCAGCCAUAAUGCUCUGCCCCAAGAAAUCUGAAAGCCCUUCCACAGAAUUUCAAAACUCUACUAUAAAUCCUUUUACAUAGUUUUUAAAAACUCCUUUGAACUGCUAAUCAUUUUCGAAUUUAUGUGGCUUGUAAGAUAGUGGAUUUUCAUGGUAUGUUGCACCCAAAAUGAGAAAAGGUACAAAAUGGUGAAGGAAAAAAAUUGCAGUUUCAAGUUUAGCAAAGAUAAAAAUUUAUAAAUUUAAGAAGCUCAGAAGAUCCCACACAGAAUCAGCUAAAAUAAAACCAUGCUUUGCACAUUAGAAUCAAAUUACUGCAGUCAGACAUAGAGAAAUUCCAGAAAUCACUGACAGAAAAAUGAAAAGGCACAUAUAGAUGCUCAAUAUGGAAUGAAAAGACUAGUCAUCAGAAAACAUGGAGCUCAAAAGACAGUGUAAUAUCUGUAUUCUGUAGAAAGCAAAAUAUUAUCUGAAACACUUUCCUAUAUUCAAAAAACUAUUUCAAGAGUGAAGUUGAGAUAUAGACACUUUCAGAUAAAAGACAAUUAGACAAUCUCUUGGCACCAGAGCUUUACUACAGAAAAUGGUAAAUUUCUGUAAUAAAAGAGCAUUGCAGGGAAAAUCAAAUUUUUAGGUAUGCAUGAAUAACAUUAGAUACUUUACGUAAAUUAUAACUGAAUAACUUGAAAAAUUCCAAGGUUAUUUAAACUUCUAAAGGCAGGCAUUUUCCAUGACUGAAACUGAAGCAGGCAGAGAAGGCUGUUCCUCCUCACAGGAAAACUAGAUUCUCACCUCAUUCAGGCAGUUCCUCUGGUCAUUGAAAACUGCUCAUAAAAUUUGCCUGGCUACAAAUAUUUGCUGGGAAAUACCUUUUGUGGGCAACCCCUUUUUCCACUGAAAAGCCUGUUUUGUAUGCUCUAGAGUGGAUGGAAAGGACACAGUCACUUAGAAUCUGUGAUAUUCUGAUCACUGCUAUGAACACUGUGGCUAAGGCACCACAAAUUCAGAAUCUAAUCUGAUCCACCUGAAAGCUGUUCUCCCCAACAGCAUAGAAAAAAAUGAGCAGACACAUAUGGAUCUCUUAAAAGCUUCCUAUCCUCAAGCUCAAUUCAAUCCCAACAAAGUCCUUGUAUUGGAUGUAACAGGAGUAGAUCUUGUCCCCUAAAGGGAGUAUUACAGGAGUAAACAGUGGACUGGAACGUGAAUAGUAUAUGACAGUACUAAUAACAGCGUUCAAUUUCUGGGUGAGGAACGUAUGGUGGUUAUACAAGAAUCUAUCUUGACUUUUACAAAUAUCUGGGUAUUCAAGGAGAAAGGGGCACAGUGCAGGUAACUGCCUUCAGAAAGACGCACACACAGACACAUAGGAAAUGUUGCUGAUGUUCUUUGUGAUAAUUUGUAGGGGAAUACUUUGUGGGCCAUCCUUCUUUUUGGUUAGACUGAUGGACCUUUGAAGGAAAUGAUGCCAUCUCUCCUUGAACUCGGAAGAGAAUGUGGCCUCAAAAUUCAACAUGUGCCAUCCCAAGAGAAAGGAGCACUUGGAAUGGGUGUUGCCUUCCCCCACAUUGUCUACAACACAUUCCAUCCCAGGGCACUCAGGGCUAUAGCUGAUCUCAAAAGUCAUCUUCUGUGGAAUUAGGUACAAGCAACGUAUUGCUUUAAAGAAAUGCCUGGUGUUCUUUGUCCUCCAGCCACUCUGUUUCACUGGGCAAUGGAUCAAGAGUGGAUGCUGGACAUGCUGCAGUGAUGUGGGUUUUUCCUUUUAUUUUGCCUGUCAGUCUCAUGAGCUUAGCUGCCACCCACAGGGCACUCAGUGCUUUUUCAAAUUUGAUCUUCAAAGUUCUCUUAUAUUUGGAAUUGGAUAUGAGUAAAACUGGACCAUAGAGGAAUUGCUGGUGCUCGUUGGCCUCUAGCCACUUUGAGUUUGACUGGGAAAUGGCUCACAUCUUGCCUGUCUCCUGAGCUCAACUGUCCCUGGUAUUUGAUUCUUAAGACAAACUAUACAGAAAGGAUAGGAUGAAGUCUCUGUCUCUUGUUUCCUGUUAUUCACUGGUGAGUCAUCUGAUGAUGGAAUAGAAAGGUGAUUGCUGUCUCCCUGUUUUUGCCUUCCCAUUUGGGUGGGCUUCUCUAAUGACACUGGGGAAAAGCUCUCAAAGUCCAAGUGUGUUUCAGUGUUUUCAGGACUUGAUAUCUGAUCUCAAUGAGUUCAACUGGAACAAGUUUUCACUUCCUUAUCUUGCUACUUAACAUUCUCCAUUAAGAGAAGUAGCCAUAAUCAUUUUGGGGGUAGAAUGAGUGAAGAUCUAUAUUCUGCAUUUUCUUCAAGUUAGCAUAUGGUGUAGGGCUGUUUGUGGGUAUUCUCUUGCUGUCAGUCCUAUGGCGUUCAGAGGUGGACUGGGAAAAGAUUGUCUCCUGUGGCCCAGAGGACUGGUCACAUCAUCUAAUAGCAUAGGCUGGAAGCCAUGCCUCAUGACCAUCUGGAGAUGGAUAGCAUGCGUUUGAUAUUUUUCACUGCUCUGCCUCUGCUUGCCACCUGCUUCUUCCCACAGUGGGUUGGUGCAAAAAGCUGGAGUCAGACCCACAGCUGGAGCAAAGCCACUGGCAAGCUUGAUGCAAACACAGGAGGCCAGUAGCCGAGUCACCAUCUCAUUUUCACUUUAACACAUGCAUUAGCCUGGACUGGCUUCCCCUCAGCAUAUUAAACGCAAUUCAACUUUGUUUUCGCUUGUAAUGGUAUUAAGUAAGUCAACUAACUCUUUAGGAAACAACCUGCUUUUUAUGAUUGGAUAUUAAAAAAAUUGUGUCAAACAUGUACCAGUUUAAUUAUUUCCUGUCUAGAAUGUUAUUGACCUUUCUUGGAUUUUCUGGGCUUUAGAAUUUUGUGAGUUGUCUAUGGCAUUGUUGGUAAACCAUCUUUUUAAAAUAUUAGCUUUUAAUUUUCUUUUGUAUUUUUUUGACUCUAAUUAAAUGUAUUAUACACUUCAAACAGUGUCCUCAUUCACGUUCUUUCACAAGUGUUAUUUCUUCAUGGUUUGUGUUGAUAUGAGUAAUAACUUCAACUCUGCAUUUUAGAUCCCUAAUCCAUUUUUCAAUUGUGUCUAAUAUGUCCACCAAUCAAUUAUUUUAUUCUCAGUGAUACUUUUCAUUUUUGUUAAGGCUUACUUGGUGUUUUUCAAUGAAUUGGUAAUUAUAAAAAUUA